AUUGAACGCUGGCGGCAUGCCUUACACAUGCAAGUCGAACGGUAACAGCACUUCGGUGGCUGACGAGUGGCGAACGGGUGAGUAAUACAUCGGAACGUGCCCGAGAGUGGGGGAUAACGCAGCGAAAGCUGUGCUAAUACCGCAUACGAUCUACGGAUGAAAGCAGGGGAUUCGCAAGGACCUUGCGCUCAUGGAGCGGCCGAAGGUAGAUUAGGUAGUUGGUGGGAUAAAAGCUUACCAAGCCGACGAUCUGUAGCUGGUCUGAGAGGACGACCAGCCACACUGGGACUGAGACACGGCCCAGACUCCUACGGGAGGCAGCAGUGGGGAAUUUUGGACAAUGGGCGGAAAGACCUGAUCCAGCCAUGCCGCGUGCAGGAUGAAGGCCUCGG
rnacentral:rRNA from 1 species